UGGGGAAUAUUGCACAAUGGGGGGAACCCUGAUGCAGCGACGCCGCGUGAGUGAAGAAGUAUUUCGGUAUGUAAAGCUCUAUCAGCAGGGAAGAAGAUGACGGUACCUGCAGAAGAAGCCCCGGCUAACUACGUGCCAGCAGCCGCGGUAAUACGUAGGGGGCAAGCGUUAUCCGGAUUUACUGGGUGUAAAGGGAGCGCAGGCGGCGGUGCAAGUCAGAAGUGAAAGCCCAAGGCUUAACCAUGGGACUGCUUUUGAAACUGCAGUGCUAGAUUGCAGGAGAGGUAAGUGGAAUUCCUAGUGUAGCGGUGAAAUGCGUAGAUAUUAGGAGGAACACCAGUGGCGAAGGCGGCUUACUGGACUGUAAAUGACGCUGAGGCUCGAAAGCGUGGGGAGCAAA
rnacentral:rRNA from 1 species